UUCACAGCAUUUUCUAAUAAAUCAUUUGCAAGUAUCCUUUUGACAUUUGGCAACUCCUUAGCAUACCGAAUGGAACGCAAUCCAGUAGCGGAAAGUGCUUCUAAAAUGGUAAAUCCAGCAAUAUUAUCAGCUGAAGUAGAAUCUGUCUUUUCCGAACAGUUUUUUUCAAAAUCAUGAGUUGUAUCACAUUUAGUAAGAUUUUCUUGGCUAAGUUCGGAGUUUUGAUCGAGAAGCUGAUGCCGGUGAUGAGAUUUUGCAACAAUUUUUUUGGAUCUAGUUUCCGACCAAGCACGAAUAGCUGUAACGCUUAAAUCUCUAUUAAAUUGUUGUACGGGGUUAUAAAAGACUUCAUUCGGAUUUGAAAAUGGUAUAAUUGCACUACCCUCGGUCAAACUUGCAGAAGCCCCCGACAUCAUGGCGGUUGAGAAGUGAUUCACAGCAUUUGAGAUCCUUUGACUUAAUCUUAGCAUAUUGGCUUCAUACAUUUAAUACGAA